GGGAUACGAAUAUUGAUUUCCUUGUUCAUUUGUUUCUGAUUUCAAAGGUUCUGGUUGUGAAGCAGGUGAAUCGUAAUUUACAGAACUUGCAUUAGUUCUAUGGUAUAAGUUACUCUCAGAUGCAUGUCUGAGAGACUCAUCACCAUAGUAUUCUGAAGCUCUGGAUCCCAAGUGCCCAACUGAUGAACCAUCCACUUCCUUAGGUGCAUCUUCCAAAGUACUAGUCACUGGAGCAGAUGCCAAAGGCCCAGAAAAGGAGCCACCAAUACCAGAGCCAAAGCUACCAAAGCUCAGGUGUGAGCAGUCUGCAGUUUGAACUUGAAGAUGGUCUGGUAUUACAACAGAAGGACCAUCUCCCUCAGGUGGCACCCCUCCAUCAUCUUGUACAUUUAACUGUUGCAAGUUUGCAGAAACUGAUGAAACAGAGUUGUUAACAUCCUCAGCUUGUUGAUGGUCAAAGGUAUGAUUCUGGUUCUGAUAUCCGUAGAGGUCAUUCUCAUAAAUAGAUGCACCUCCAGCAUUAUCCUCCUGCAACCUUCUGCUUGAAGGACUACCAAGAUUUUCAAUCGUGCAGUUAUCUGUCCCCUGAACUUCAUCAAUCUCAUUUUGAUGAUUAAUUCUGUCAUAUGACAUGUUAGUUGGAUCAGGAUGCAGCUCCGAAUCAGCAGGAGGCUCUGAGAUAGAUGUCUGACUAGCAACUGAUGGCGGCUCAAUUAGAGGCCAUUCCUCAUCAGUUGAAAGAUGUUGUGGCUCUCGGUGUACCUCAGAAAUUUUGGUAGUAUGAUCAUCAGACCACUGUGUAUUUUGAUGUGAUGCACCAGAAGGGAGCCCCUGAAUAUGGUUUUGCUCGGCAUUGACAUUGUGGUGAGAUACACUAGGUGCACUUGGCACUUUGCUCUGUGGCCUACCCAUCUUCACA
rnacentral:misc_RNA from 1 species